rnacentral:snoRNA from 1 species
UAUCAUGAUGAACAACCUUAUCCAAAAGCAUAGUUCAACUGAGACUUUUCUGUCACUGAACGAGAAAAAUACCAUCAUCAAAAUCUGAAU